rnacentral:rRNA from 1 species
AAUGGACGAAAGUCUGACGGAGCAACGCCGCGUGAGUGAUGAAGGUCUUCGGAUUGUAAAACUCUGUCAUUAGGGAAGAACAAGUAUAGGUUGAACAAGCCUGUACCUUGACGGUACCUAAGGAGGAAGCCCCGGCUAACUACGUGCCAGCAGCCGCGGUAAUACGUAGGGGGCAAGCGUUGUCCGGAAUUAUUGGGCGUAAAGCGCGCGCAGGCGGUCUUUUAAGUCUGAUGUGAAAGCCCACGGCUCAACCGUGGAGGGUCAUUGGAAACUGGGAGACUUGAGUGCAGGAGAGGAAAGUGGAAUUCCACGUGUAGCGGUGAAAUGCGUAGAGAUGUGGAGGAACACCAGUGGCGAAGGCGACUUUCUGGCCUGUAACUGACGCUGAGGCGCGAAAGCGUGGGGAGCAAA